rnacentral:rRNA from 1 species
GACAGAGGGUGCAAACGUUGUUCGGAAUUACUGGGCGUAAAGCGCGUGUAGGCAGCUCGGCAAGUCGGGUGUGAAAGCCCUGGGCUCAACCUAGGAAGUGCACUCGAAACUUCCGAGCUGGAGUACUGGAGAGGAAGGCGGAAUUCUCGGUGUAGAGGUGAAAUUCGUAGAUAUCUGGAGGAACACCGGUGGCGAAGGCGGCAUCCUGGACCAACACUGACGCUGAGGAGCGAAAGCCAGGGGAGCAAACGGG